CCGGCAUAAAAUUGUAUGAUCUCGCGCGAAUUCUCGCGUGGUCUACCGAUGCCAAUAACUGCUGCUAAAUUAACAAAUAUACCUUAUGUAUUGUCAAUCUACAUAAUAUAGGUAAAUUCAUUUGUCAGCGGACACAACCUGUAAGCGUGUCGUGUAACCACUAUAUAUAUAUUUAUUUCAUGUAAAACAACUGCAUUAAUAUAAAGAUAUUAUGAAUGUGUUUAAUAAUGUAAGUUGCGUGAAUGGAGCAGUCGUCAACAGUAUAGAUCCUCCUGUAACAGAGUGAUGAAAAUGACGGCUACGACGGCAAGUACAGUGUAGUGUGGCCAAAAGGGGAAAAAAAUAUGAAUGAAAUUGCGGCGUGCUUGUGCGACAGUUGGGCGCCAACGAGAGAGUGUGUUACGUUAUAUAUAUUGAGUAUAUAAAAGAGAAAAAGUUAUAUGUAUACAUACACAUAUGUAAAAAAAAAGAUGGUACAUAUAGGAGUGUGUCUUUUAAAUAUGCGCAUGCGUCACAUAUAUAGAAGCACGUGUGCAACUUGCGUGCCAUUCAACGUAAAAUAUAACAGCCGAUGUGUAUAGAUGAUGAACGGAGGACAGUCAAUAAAAUGUGGCGUGUCUAGACCCCACGGAAUAAAAUUUAUAGCUUAACUCAUACAUAUCUUAGUACAAACAUUAGUAUAUAUGAUAUUUACAUACUGACUUACUUGGAGUAUUGUCAUUACUGGUAAUUAAAGUACCCGAAUAAAUAUUAUUGAAUUUACAAAAGGGAAGCUAUGUGGAUUAUAUUUUAUCGUUCAAGUAGCGGCAUUUACAUUUGAAACUUCCUCACAUCUCUUUCUCUAAUGUGCACUACUUUUCCGGUUUGGUUCUAAAUAUAAGAGCUAUAAACAUUAGCAGAACAUAUCCGUGAUGCAAACUUGUAUGGUCCAAGCUGAGUUAGUUAAAAUUAAUUUCAGGUGGAUUUUUGUAAAAAAUUUGAUUAUUGGAAUUGAUAUCGUAUUAUAUAAUUACGACAAUUACACUAUGAAAAUUUUGGCCCAAUCGUUU